UACGUAGGGGCAAGCGUUGUCCGGAUUAUUGGGCGUAAAGAGCGUGUAGGCGGCCAGGUAGGUCUGCUGUGAAAACUCGAGGCUUAACCUCGAGAUGUCGGCGGAAACCAUCUGGCUAGAGUCCGGAAGAGGAGAGUGGAAUUCCUGGUGUAGCGGUGAAAUGCGCAGAUAUCAGGAAGAACACCCGUGGCGAAGGCGGCUCUCUGGGACGGUACUGACGCUGAGGAGCGAAAGCGUGGGGAGCGAACAGG
rnacentral:rRNA from 1 species